GACUACAUUUCCCAGAAUGCACCUGCACCCACUCAUCUGCCCCACCCUUCACGUGCGACUGCUUGACCUAUGGGCUUGACGGGAAAAUUCAAAAUCGCGAACCGUUACAGCCUGGACUACUCUUUGUUUGCUUGCACAUCAACAGUAAGAGGUCAUGUACACUGUGGUCAACUUUGUGGACGCUGAAGAGGUUUCUGGGUAAAGAUGAUAGAAAUAUAAUGAAGUAACAGUGGAAGCUAAAACAUCAGACUGAUCCAGACACUGAAGAAAUUGAUGUCACUGCAAUCUGGCCAAAAUGAUACAACUAUAUUGAAGUAGUCUACUGUAAUGAAGCUGCAGAACGUCACAGAGACUCUGAGGACAUCAACACAGAAAAUCAAGUAAGAAGAUAGACAUUAUGAAGUUCUUUGAUCAUAUAUUGCUGUAUCUUUGUACAGUUUAAUGUAAACUUUCUAAAAUGUACAACUUUAUGUCAUUUGAUUUGUUGUGUGUGUGUGUGUGUAUCUGUAUAUGUAUAUGUGUAUUAGUAUUAUGCCACAUACUUAUAUGUACGUUUAUAUUUCCAAAAGGCUCCAAAGAGAUGUCUGUCCAGAUGAGGGUGCAUCAACGUUACCUUUGCUGACAAGUAUAUGCUUUACAAUGUAAAACCUAACAGUUAACUUAACUCAAACCAUUUAAGGAAAUCUGUUGCCUUAAAUCAUUAAGUUUUAAAAAACAUACAUUUGAGUACUGUGAACUUAAGUCUUGUGCAAUUAUGCACUUAUAUUUAGGUAGUGUGAACUUAAAUAUAAGUGCUUAACUGCAUGUGACUCAAUUUGUUUAAGUUCACAGUACUCAAAUCUAUGUGUUUUAAAACUUGAAUGGUUUAAUGCAACCGGUUUUCUUAAAUGUGAGAAAUUACAGUGUUACAGUGAGAAAUAUUUGAAUAAUUCCAAGUCAGAGCUCUGUGAUUGAUUCUACACUGCAAAAAAUCACUUUCUAACACUUUUUAUCUUGUUUUCAGUAGAAAAACGAAAAAUUCUUAAAUCAAGAUGUAUUUUCUUGAUGAGCAAAAUUACCUUAGAAAAUAUGUCUAGUUUUUAGACAAAAAUAUACAAUUUAAGAUAAUUUGUGCCUAAACAAGAAAAAAUAUCUAACAAUGGGGUGAGAAAAUUGUUUUGAUUAAGUUUUUAA